UACAGAGAGUGCAAGCGUUAAUCGGAAUUACUGGGCGUAAAGCGCGCGUAGGUGGAUGUCUAAGUCGGAUGUGAAAGCCCUGGGCUUAACCUAGGAAUUGCACCCGAUACUAUUCAUCUUGAGUAUGGUAGAGGUAAGUGGAAUUUCCGGUGUAGCGGUGAAAUGCGUAGAUAUCGGAAGGAACACCAGUGGCGAAGGCGGCUUACUGGACCAAUACUGACACUGAGGCGCGAAAGCGUGGGGAGCAAAC
rnacentral:rRNA from 1 species